rnacentral:lncRNA from 1 species
GACAGUUAUAAUAACAGCUUAUUUAAUUAUACUUGAUUUAUUUCACUUUAUAAUUUUUUUUUUAUCCCUUUUUUUACCAAAGGGUCUGAAAGUGCGACACAGCUCGUGUCAGUGGAGCUGCAUCUGUGUCCAGUUCCAUUUUUGAAUCUCUUAGGAAACAGAAGAAGAGUAGAUUUGAUUCUCAGCAGAGGUGCAGUCUGUAAACCAAAGGAGGAAAAUAGAAUCCCACAUCAUAAAGGAUUCAAGAAGCACUCUCCAUUUGUCUGGCAGUAUUUUAAAUGAAGAGUAAACAAGCUAAUUUCUGAUCUUCUUUACAUCAGUGCAAACUGAAGCAGAAUAUUCUCCAGAUAUUAGACUAUGUAAGUAUCAUGAGAUCAUUUAUAUCCUAUCUCUUUCUCUGCAUUCCAGUCCUUAUGGCUUCCCACUCUAUGAUU